ACCAAUCGAUACUAUUGGAUUCAGAUAUUCAAGUCUUUUAAAUAUUAUAUAAUUAUUUUGAAACAUUGUUUUACAUUACAAGAAGAAACUGUUAUUAAAACAACUUAAUAAUAUUGGCUUCACACGGGAAUGUUUAACAAUAUCAGCUUUAGAUAGUAACAUCACAAUUAAAAAAAUAUAAACACACUGAUCCCUAUAUUGUGAUAUUGAUUCUUUGUCCAUAUAAGGAUCAUUAUUAUGAAAUUUUUUUCUUAUUUAGCUAUUUGAUAUUAUGUAAUUAAUAAAAAGUACAAUUAUUAAUUGUACGACCCAUCAUACAAUACACACGCGCCUUUGACGCACGUAUGCACAAAAAGAUUUAAAUUUACACAUUAUACUAGAAUUUAUUAUAUGCAAAUAAUAGUACCUAAAAUGUACAUAUAUACAGGGUUUCUCAUCUCAUAUUAAUAUCUUGAUUUCCAUCCCUAUUACUAUUUGUAGCGAAAAAUGUUUUAGAUAAAAGUUGUGGUUUCGAGGGAGGCAUAUUCUAAUGUUAUGUCCUUUUGUAGAUGGGCGCGAAAAGGUUAUGUGAAGGUCAACUUGAUCUUUUUAAAUGAAAUAAUAUAUACUUUUUAAUACAUUGGUAGAUGCAACUAAACAUUCUCUAUAAAAGGGUAUUAACCCAUAUAUGUAUGUUGGAAAGUUAUUAGUUUACUGAAUGUUAUUAGUUUAUGUAUUUUUUUAACUUUUAUUUUGUAAAAGCUAUCGUAAGAAAGAUAAUGAAAACAAACACACAAGUACAUAUAUUAUUACUUAUUAGUGCCUUACAUCUUUCCUUGUUUUUUAUACGAUAGGUUUUAUAAAAGAAAAGUUAAAAUGCUUAUUAAACUAAUAGUUUUUAAACAUAUAUAAUUUUUUACAGAGAAUGUCGACCUGCGUCGAUUAAUGUAUUAAAAAAUAUAUGAUUCCAUUAAAAAACAAAGUUUUUGAUCUUCAUGCGCUCACCUACACAAAGCCUACUAACAUUAAAUAUACAUAUUAAAAUUUACCUGUCUUCUUUGAAACAAUUGAACUUUUAUUUGAAAGAUUUUUCGCUAUAGGUAGUAAUGUAUGAUAUAAAUUAAAAUGUUAAUGUCAAUGUCAAGUGGGCGUGAGGUACCUUAUAUAUAUAUGUAUGUAUGUAUAAACAAGAAUCAUCUUGAGAUGUAAAAGGCGCGUUCACCUAAGAACAAGAUUUGUGACCAUCACGAAAUAUCCCCUUCGAAAACAAAUAAAUUCUUUUUGAAACACCUUUUUGAAUAACGAAUACCUAGUUUAGGAGAUAAAAUUUCAAAUGGGACAACCUGUAUAUGUAUAUAUAUAGAUUUAUUUUAACUGAAAUCGAUAGAAUAUCUUGAGAUAUAGAAAUUAUCAAAAAAAUGUUCUUACAAAAAAUUUUUGGUAUAAACAAAGGGGACAUUAUAUUGCAUAAAUAAUUUUUUUGAUGGUGCAAUAAUGGGGGAAAUUUUUAAGUCAAAUUAAUUUUAUCAUUCGAUAGAAUACGAUGGCAUUUAUUGAUGCGAAUUCAAUGAUCUGCCGUUAAAGUCAUUUUAUACAUAUGGUAGAAGUAUUUGUAAAUUCCUAAGGAAUCAAUUGACAUCUACUAAGCUGCUCGAACCGGCUGGUUCCAACGUCCCAACAUGAUGAUGGUUCUUCAAAUUAUACAGCAUUAGCCUGAAAGUGGUUGGAACACAAUUUCAACAACAAAUAGAUCGAUUGCGAUGGAUCAGAUCUCAUUCCAUAAUCUCCAUGCGAACUUUUCUCGUGGGAUCACUUGAAGAAGAUAGUUUACAAAAUAAUCCGGAAAUGUCUAUAAAUUACAGAAAAAGAUUACAAUCGCUUGUAGGAAGAUGACAGAAUAAAUAUUGAAAUAUUUUUAAAAGGAAUCUUUAAAAAAAGAGUGGAUAGAUAUAAUUUUGAACAUUGGUGAAUACAUAUAAAGCAAAUUUUUAAUGAUUAUUGUUGCUGCUUUAAUUAGAUAUUGAUUGCACAUAUCUUCCAAGAAACAUAAAAUCAAGGAAGAUAAAGGAGCAUCACGGUAGAAAUAUUGCCUGUCAAUUCGAGAAUAGAAAGUUAAUAAGAAGAAAUUUAUGAUAUUAUGCUAAAUAAUCUCAUAUGGUGGGUCAUUGAUAUGAUCUCAAUAAAUGCCAUUGUAUCAUGAUUAAAAAAGUAUAGACUC